AAAACCAAACAAAACCUGUGAGGUGCAUUCAGAAAGCUUACAAGUUAGUGGAAAGAACGAUAAACAACGCUCAUUUGGGAAUUACUAGAAGGCUUUAUUGCUGCAAUGGAAUUUUAAUAGGAACUUGAUGGAUAAACAACUGGGUGGAGACGUGGGAUGGAUGAAAAAGUAAAACUUUGGUCCAUACAUGAACAGCGCUAGAAAAAGAUCAGAAAAUAGCCCUUGCCAGUUGAAAUACAAGUUGUGUGUUGUUGUUGUUUUUUCCCUUUUUUUUUUUUUUUUUUUUUUUUCGGAGCUGGGGACCGAACCCAGGGCCUUGCGCUUGCUAGGCAAACGCUCUACCACUGAGCUAAAUCCCCAACCCCCAAGUUGUGUGGUUUUAAAAUGAACAGACACUUCCCUCAGAGGCACGACUGUUAGGUGAGCUGCAAGGACUCUCUUACUUAAGGCUAGUAGUUCUAGCAAACUGUGACUUGCCACAGUUUUGGCCGAGUUAACUUCCUAGGCAGAAAAACCACACCCACCAAGUCCCCAGCAGGGCUGGAAACCCAUCGGAGAUAAGGAAGUAGAGAGAUUGGCUUGGGAUAGUGGUGAGCAGAUUUUCUAGGGCGCAGAAAGAAAUCAACAUGGCACAAAGCAUUCUCUUUGGCAGCUGAGAGUUCAGAGGAAGCCUCCAAGGCUGAAAAGACAAGGCAUGAGGCUUCACAGCUCGCUCGCAAAGGGUACAAUUCAGGUUGAGGAAAUUUGGUCAGUGUGCGUCCUCUGUUAAAAGGAGAGAGGGCGCCCCCUGGGAAGAGUGCUGGGUAGAGAAGGUUGGAAGACUCAGAUGAGGACGGAAGAGAGGUGGGGGUUAAGAUGGGGGUAGCCUACUCGUCAAUUUUCUUUUCACAGAAGCUAACUGUCCGGCAUGAUGGAUUCCUGAGUUUCCAAAACGGCUGGGCUGAAAGGGAUCUCGAAAAAAUAACCGCUGCCACAUGCCCCGUGCCAGAACUGGUUACUUUCUUGAACACUUUUAACCCUAAUUCUGCCUGGAGGUGACAUCAAUUCUCCGCCACCGGAGAAUGAAAGCUUGGGACUACAUUUCCCUGCAAGCCCUUUAGAAAAGGAGGCCAAGAGCAAAGAGACUUUCCGUUUCCGUCCGCUUGCAAUUUGGCGUGUUCGCAGUGAUACAUAUUUCAACAGUAGCGUCCUUUCUCUGUACAACUAAA
rnacentral:sRNA from 1 species